GAUGAACGCUGGCGGCGUGCCUAACACAUGCAAGUCGAGCGAUUCUCUUCGGAGAAGAGCGGCGGACGGGUGAGUAACGCGUGGGUAACCUGCCCUGUACACACGGAUAACAUACCGAAAGGUAUGCUAAUACGAGAUAAUAUACUUUUAUCGCAUGGUAGAAGUAUCAAAGCUUUUGCGGUACAGGAUGGACCCGCGUCUGAUUAGCUAGUUGGUAAGGUAACGGCUUACCAAGGCGACGAUCAGUAGCCGACCUGAGAGGGCGAUCGGCCACAUUGGAACUGAGACACGGUCCAAACUCCUACGGGAGGCAGCAGUGGGGAAUAUUGCACAAUGGGCGAAAGCCUGAUGCAGCAACGCCGCGUGAGUGAUGAAGGCCUUCGGGUCGUAAAACUCUGUCCUCAAGGAAGAUAAUGACGGUACUUGAGGAGGAAGCCCCGGCUAACUACGUGCCAGCCGCCGCCGUAA
rnacentral:rRNA from 1 species